CACGUGAGAAUCUACCCUAAGGAGGGGAAUAACAGCUGGAAACGGUUGCUAAUACCCCAUAUGCCGAAAGGUAAAAGGAUUUAUCCACCUUAGGAAGAGCUCGCGCCUGAUUAGCUAGUUGGUGGGGUAAAGGCCCACCAAGGCCAUGAUCAGUAGCUGGUUUGAGAGGACGAUCAGCCACACUGGGACUGAGACACGGCCCAGACUCCUACGGGAGGCAGCAGUGGGGAAUUUUCCGCAAUGGGCGAAAGCCUGACGGAGCAAUACCGCGUGAGGGAUGAAAGCCUGUGGGUUGUAAAC
rnacentral:rRNA from 1 species